GAUGAAGAACGUAGCGAAAUGCGAUAACUAAUGUGAAUUGCAGAAUUCAGUGAAUCAUCGAGUCUUUGAACGCACAUUGCGCCCCCUGGUAUUCCGGGGGGCAUGCCUGUCCGAGCGUCAUUGCUGCCCUCAAGCACGGCUUGUGUGUUGGGCUCCGUCCCCCCGGGGACGGGCCCGAAAGGCAGUGGCGGCACCGAGUCCGGUCCUCGAGCGUAUGGGGCUUUGUCACCCGCUCUGUAGGCCCGGCCGGCGCCAGCCGACAACCCAUCAUCCUUUUCAGGUUGACCUCGGAUCAGGUAGGGAUACCCGCUGAACUUAAGCAUAUCAAUAAGCGGAGGA
rnacentral:misc_RNA from 1 species